GAUUCGCUAGCUCAGUUGGUAGAGCACCUGACUUUUAAUCAGGGUGUCCCGGAUUCGAGUUCCGGGCGGAUCA
rnacentral:tRNA from 1 species